AGGCCUAGCGGCAGGCUUAUACAUGCAAGUCGAACGGCAGCACGUGUAGCAAUACAUGGUGGCGAGUGGCGCACGGGUGCGUAACACGUAUGUAACCUACCUCUAACAGUGGCAUAACAAUGAGAAAUUAUUGCUAAUUCCGCAUGUGGUUAAUUUGAGGCAUCUUAGAUUAACUAAAGAUUUAUCGGUUAGAGCUGGGCAUGCGUCCCAUUAGCUAGUUGGUGAGGUAACGGCUCACCAAGGCAUCGAUGGGUAGGGGCUCUGAGAGGAUUGUCCCCCACACUGGUACUGAGACACGGACCGGACUCCUACGGGAGGCAGCAGUAAGGAAUAUUGGGCAAUGGACGUAAGUCUGACCCAGCCAUGCCGCGUGAAGGAAGACGGCCCUAUGGGUUGUAAACUUCUUUUCUCAGGGGGUAAACUCCGGAACGUGUUCCGGACUGAAAGUACCUGAGGAAUAAGCAUCGGCUAACUCCGUGCCAGCAGCCGCGGUAAUACGGAGGAUGCGAGCGUUAUCCGGAUUCAUUGGGUUUAAAGGGUGCGCAGGCGGAUAUAUAAGUCGGAGGUGAAAUUCUGAUGCUCAACAUCAGCCGUGCCUUCGAUACUGUAUAUCUAGAGUCAAGUUGGAGUAGGCGGAAUGUGUUGUGUAGCGGUGAAAUGCUUAGAUAUAACACAGAACACCGAUCGCGAAGGCAGCUUACUAAACUUUGACUGACGCUCAUGCACGAAAGCGUGGGGAUCAAACAGGAUUAGAUACCCUGGUAGUCCACGCUGUAAACGAUGAUUACUCGCUGUUGGCGAUACACAGUCAGUGGCUAAGCGAAAGUGAUAAGUAAUCCACCUGGGGAGUACGACGGCAACGUUGAAACUCAAAUGAAUUGACGGAAGGGCGAAUU
rnacentral:rRNA from 1 species